rnacentral:misc_RNA from 1 species
UACGGAGAGUGCAAGCGUUGUCCGGAAUCACUGGGUGUAAAGGGUGUGUAGGUGGGGUAGCAAGUCAGAGGUGAAAGCCCACGGCUCAACCGUGGAAUUGCCUUUGAUACUGUUAUUCUUGAGUCCUGGAGAGGACACUGGAAUUCGUGGUGUAGCGGUGAAAUGCGUAGAUAUCACGAGGAACACCAGAGGUGUAGACGGGUGACUGGACAGGUACUGACACUGAGGCACGAAAGCGUGGGGAGCAAACAGG